GCCCUUGUGGAUCAAUGGGAGAUCACUUCAACAUGUUAAACUGGAUCUGUAGGGAUUACGUGAAGAGAUGCGGGUUCGAUUCCUGCCAAGGGCA